rnacentral:lncRNA from 1 species
CCUCCCUUGACUCCACCCCCACUCUGGAAUGUUCUGGAAUGUUCCUCCCACUGUUGUUGUUGCUUGAUAUAGAAUAAUUCAAUAUUCUUCUAAGGCUUGGGUUACAUCCCAACAAAGGGUGCCAAUGGGGAGGGGGCCAUGUUAAUCCCUAAAAACUAAAGGAUUUCAGUCGGAAGUGACUUCACAAAUUGGCUAGUUCAUUUUAUGUCAAAACAGAAACCUCCUCUUCAACAUAUCUGACAAAUAUUUAACCAGCCUUUCCUGGGAGACUGCUAGUGAUAAGGAACUCACUACCUCAUAAGACUACCUUCAGAAAGGCGGCUCUUUCCUGUCACCAGCACCAUUUUCAUCGAUGCUAGCCUCACUCACUGGCUAUUUUAUUGUGUGGGCUGUGAAUGAAGAAACGCUUCAUUGACAACCGGGUGCUCUGGAAGGCCGCGCUCUGUGGCUUGCCUGCUUUCUCCUACAAUCGCGGCCCAUUUGGAAGAACAACAUAUCCCAAGUUGUUAGUCUUCAGGAACAAAUUGAGAAAGCUGAAUGGUAAGACCAUUGCAUAGCCUCCUCUGAGUGUUCUGAGAUUGGUCCCUCCUUUGGAAUCCCAAUCCUUCCUAACAUAUUAGAGGUAGUAAAAAGUUCAUCGUGCUAGAUGCCACGAGACCCAACUUCCAGAACCAUGCAUACAUAACUUACUACUUGGAGAAAUUGUUUAUUAUUUUUAGACCACAGUUUGCUCAUUUUUGAAAUGGAGUUAAUAUUACUUGUUUUUCCAAACUCACAAAGUUGUGGUAACGAUGAAAUAAGAUAAAAAUUAUAAAAAACAAUUUGAAAAAACUUAAUUAUACAAUAAAAGCUAGCAUUUAUAUAGUACUUUAUAGGUU